rnacentral:rRNA from 1 species
AGACCCGAAACCCGGUGAUCUAGCCAUGGGCAGGUUGAAGGUUGGGUAACACUAACUGGAGGACCGAACCGACUAAUGUUGAAAAAUUAGCGGAUGACCUGUGGCUGGGGGUGAAAGGCCAAUCAAACCGGGAGAUAGCUGGUUCUCCCCGAAAGCUAUUUAGGUAGCGCCUCGUGAACUCAUCUCCGGGGGUAGAGCACUGUUUCGGCUAGGGGGCCAUCCCGGCUUACCAACCCGAUGCAAACUGCGAAUACCGGAGAAUGUUAUCACGGGAGACACACGGCGGGUGCUAACGUCCGUCGUGAAGAGGGAAACAACCCAGACCGCCAGCUAAGGUCCCAAAGUCAUGGUUAAGUGGGAAACGAUGUGGGAAGGCCCAGACAGCCAGGAUGUUGGCUUAGAAGCAGCCAUCAUUUAAAGAAAGCGUAAUAGCUCACUGGUCGAGUCGGCCUGCGCGGAAGAUGUAACGGGGCUAAACCAUGCACCGAAGCUGCGGCAGCGACACUUUAGUGUUGUUGGGUAGGGGAGCGUUCUGUAAGCCGUUGAAGGUGUCCUGUGAGGGGUGCUGGAGGUAUCAGAAGUGCGAAUGCUGACAUAAGUAACGAUAAAGCGGGUGAAAAGCCCGCUCGCCGGAAGACCAAGGGUUCCUGUCCAACGUUAAUCGGGGCAGGGUGAGUCGACCCCUAAGGCGAGGCCGAAAGGCGUAGUCGAUGGGAAACGGGUUAAUAUUCCCGUACUUGGUGUUACUGCGAAGGGGGGACGGAGAAGGCUAUGUUGGCCGGGCGACGGUUGUCCCGGUUUAAGCGUGUAGGUGUGUGUUCCAGGUAAAUCCGGUUCACUUUAACACUGAGGCGUGAUGACGAGGCACCACGGUGCUGAAGCAACAAAUGCCCUGCUUCCAGGAAAAGCCUCUAAGCAUCAGGUAACAUCAAAUCGUACCCCAAACCGACACAGGUGGUCAGGUAGAGAAUACCAAGGCGCUUGAGAGAACUCGGGUGAAGGAACUAGGCAAAAUGGUGCCGUAACUUCGGGAGAAGGCACGCUGACACGUAGGUGAAGUGAUUUACUCACGGAGCUGAAGUCAGUCGAAGAUACCAGCUGGCUGCAACUGUUUAUUAAAAACACAGCACUGUGCAAACACGAAAGUGGACGUAUACGGUGUGACGCCUGCCCGGUGCCGGAAGGUUAAUUGAUGGGGUCAGCGCAAGCGAAGCUCCUGAUCGAAGCCCCGGUAAACGGCGGCCGUAACUAUAACGGUCCUAAGGUAGCGAAAUUCCUUGUCGGGUAAGUUCCGACCUGCACGAAUGGCGUAAUGAUGGCCAGGCUGUCUCCACCCGAGACUCAGUGAAAUUGAACUCGCUGUGAAGAUGCAGUGUACCCGCGGCAAGACGGAAAGACCCCGUGAACCUUUACUAUAGCUUGACACUGAACAUUGAGCCUUGAUGUGUAGGAUAGGUGGGAGGCUUUGAAGCGUGGACGCCAGUCUGCGUGGAGCCGACCUUGAAAUACCACCCUUUAAUGUUUGAUGUUCUAACGUGGACCCGUAAUCCGGGUUGCGGACAGUGUCUGGUGGGUAGUUUGACUGGGGCGGUCUCCUCCUAAAGAGUAACGGAGGAGCACGAAGGUUGGCUAAUCCUGGUCGGACAUCAGGAGGUUAGUGCAAUGGCAUAAGCCAGCUUGACUGCGAGCGUGACGGCGCGAGCAGGUGCGAAAGCAGGUCAUAGUGAUCCGGUGGUUCUGAAUGGAAGGGCCAUCGCUCAACGGAUAAAAGGUACUCCGGGGAUAACAGGCUGAUACCGCCCAAGAGUUCAUAUCGACGGCGGUGUUUGGCACCUCGAUGUCGGCUCAUCACAUCCUGGGGCUGAAGUAGGUCCCAAGGGUAUGGCUGUUCGCCAUUUAAAGUGGUACGCGAGCUGGGUUUAGAACGUCGUGAGACAGUUCGGUCCCUAUCUGCCGUGGGCGCUGGAAGAUUGAGGGGGGCUGCUCCUAGUACGA